rnacentral:tRNA from 1 species
GGGCGGUUAGCUCAGUUGGUCAGAGCGCUUCCCUUACAAGGAAGAGGCCACAGGUUCGAAUCCUGUACCGCCCACCA